AGCAGCCGCGGUAAUUCCAGCUCCAAUAGCGUAUAUUAAAGUUGUUGCAGUUAAAAAGCUCGUAGUUGAAUUUCGGGAUCAAUCUAUCGGUCGUGCAAUAGUACGUACUGAUUUUAUUGAUUCCUCCCUUCUGAUGAACUAUGAUGUCAUUAAUUUGGUGUCAUAGGGAGUCAGGACUGUUACUUUGAAAAAUUAGAGUGUUUAAAGCAGGCUCACGCUUGAAUACAUUAGCAUGGAAUAACGAAAUAGGACGUUUGAUUCUAUUUUGUUGGUUUCUAGGAUCGACGUAAUGAUUAAUAGGGAUAGUUGGGGGCAUUAGUAUUCAAUUGUCAGAGGUGAAAUUCUUGGAUUUAUUGAAGACUAACUACUGCGAAAGCAUUUGCCAAGGAUGUUUU
rnacentral:rRNA from 1 species